UACGUAGGUGACAGCGUUAUCCGGAAUUAUUGGGCGUAAAGCGCCCGCAGGCGGCUGUUCAAGUCUGACGUGAAAUCGCUCGGCUUAACUGGGCGGGGUCGUUGGAAACUGAAUAGCUUGAGGCAAGGAGAGGGGCGUGGAAUUCCUGGUGUAGCGGUGAAAUGCGCAGAUAUCAGGAGGAACACCGGUGGCGAAGGCGGGUCUCUGGGCCGAUACUGACGCUGAGGAGCGAAAGCGUGGGGAGCGAACAGG
rnacentral:rRNA from 1 species